AAAUCACUAUCAUCAACGAGAUAUCAUUAUCUAGAUUUCUAUGUGAAAGCUAACAAAACACAAAUCGAAUUAAGGUAGCUUUGUAAAAUUAUAUUAUAUAUUAUAAUAAUGUGGAAAAAUUAUAGUAUAAAAAUUGUAUAAAAGAUUAUAUUUUUUGAUAUUGUUAAGAACCACUUCAAGAUCUUGAUAGGUUCAAGAUCACUAGACAAUAAUGGCUUCAACACGAUUCGAGGUAGACAAGUUCUCGAGUACAAAUAAUUUUGGCCUAUGGAGGAUUAAGAUGAAAGCACUACUAGUUCAUCAAGGAAUUCAUCAGGCCAUAGACAAAGAAGAACUAAAAGAAUUGGGUGAAGACAAGAAGAAAAUCAAGGAGAUCGAGAUCAAAGCUCACAGUGCCAUACUUUUGAGCUUGGGAGAUGAAGUACUCAGGGAAGUUUCAGAUGAAGGUACUGCAAUAGGGUUAUGGGAGAAACUUGCUUCAAUUUACUUGAAGAAGUCUUUAGCAAACAAACUCUAUUUGAAGAAGAAACUGUACACAUUGAAGAUUGAUGAUGCCAAGCACCUCAAAAAUCAUCUUGAUGAAUUCAACAGAAUCAUUCUUGAUCUCAGCAACAUAGGUGUCAAGAUUGAAGAUGAGGAUCAAGGGAUCCUGCUGUUGAGUUCCUUGCCAAAAUGUUAUGAACAUUUUGGGUGUGUUCGGUAACCAUUAUAAAAAUGGUUUUUUGUUUUUUUAAUCAAAAAUUUAAAAAUAUAAAUAAAAAUUGUGUUUGGUAACUCCAUUUUAUUUUUUGUUUUUAAAAUUAAAAAACAGAAUUCAGUGAAUUUUAAAAACAGAUUUUAGAUGAUUUUAAAAAAUUUUAAAAACACUUUUACUUCUCUCUCUCGUUAGUCAUUCUUCAGAGUAGUUUCCAUGGCUUCAACUUCACCAUUACAAGAUUUGAAAAUGAAAAAAUGAGAAGAGCAUGACAAUGAAAGUGGUUUCUUAGAGAGAAAGAUCUUUUUGCUAUUACAGAUGACAAGAACAGAUAGUGAGGUGGUUAUUAUUGAUAAUAGCGAAGCUUCUGUUUGGCCUGAAAAACAAGAAGAAAUUUUUAUUGAACUUAUGGAAGAAGAAGUUUUGAAGGGAAAUAGGAAUACUAUAACCUUUACAAAGCAAUCGUGGAAGCGUAUAAAGGAGGAGCUAUAUGCACAAGCGAAGAGAAGUUACACUGAUAUGCUGAUCAUAAAUAGAGAGCAAAUCGACGAUGAAGAUAAUGAGUGAAAAUUAUUAACAAUUAGAAUUUUUUUAAUAGUUUUCUUCAAUAUUAGACAAUUAUUAGUUCAUAUUUUAUUAUGACUUUGUCGGUUUUGUGUUAUAGAUAAUGAGUUUCGUGAUUUUAAAUUACUUGAAUUUUUUUAAGAUGUUAAUGAGUAUUUUUUAUUUGAUUUUUUUAUAA